rnacentral:lncRNA from 1 species
UAGUAACAAAUCUUUCAGUUUAUUUAAGUCAUUCGAUGGUUCUUUUAGUCUAAAACUUUAGUAAAAGGGUUAAUUGCAUACAAUUUCUUGUAAAUAUAGAGAAUUGCAGAUAUAUUCAUAUAAAGUUCAACUUUCUUAUUUUAUUCCUACAAAAAUUCGUUGAAAAAUUUUAGUUAAUUAUAGAUAAAAUACUUAAUCGUGGUUAGUCAAUGAGGUAAAUUGAUUUUUUUAUCCUUCUUAUAUUAUACCUUCUUCUUUCAAUCAAAAUCCUACUGGCCAACGGAAACUCUUUUUCUUCUUCCUCUUUCUCUCUCUCCUUCAAGCUAGUUUUGGACCUGUAACUAAAAUUCCUCCAUCCCUAUUUACUCACGACGCGUAUUGUUUCCCCCAUGUCGAAUGCGUGUUGUUUUUCCAUUCAAUUUUCUCUAUAAUUUUUUCUUAUUUUCCUCAAAAGAAAAGGUUUGGGAAAAAAAAAGAGUAAGAAAAGAGGUUGCAACAAUGGUGGAUUGAGUUGGAUUUUAAAGAGAAAGAAGAUGAUCAUUGAAAUUUUUUUGGAGGGAUAUCUCUACAUGAUUAUAGCAAUUGGGGCUUUUGGAGGGACAUAUUUGUGAUGGCAAAAUUGACAUUUCACUUAUCUACUAUUAAAAAUAAAUAAUUUUCUAACAGGAAUAAAACAGAGGACAAAUAUGAAUAUUAAUGGACUUUUGAAGGGAUAGCAUAAAAAAAUUAGACUAUAGGAAUAUAUUUACAAUUCACUAUAUUUAAGGGAGCUGUAUGCAAUUAAACCUUUAAUAAAAUUACAACUAUAUGAAUUACAUAAAAUAU